AUGGAAGGCAUCGCUCGCAGGAGGGACGAUCUGGAGAGCUACUUGAGGAGCCUCGCCAAGAAGUUGUACAUCAAGCUUGAAGAGUUUUGCCAGAACUUUGAAGAGGAGACUGGGCGGAUCGAACCAGGUUUGGAUCCAAUCAACUCUCCCGUGAAAGAUGAAACUACCAUGAAUCUGCUCCGACUGGAAUCUCGCAUCGACGGUGCCGUGGACUACUUGGCUCGACUGAAGGUCGCCAUGUCACGGAUCGACCCGGCACUUUGGCCAGAGGCUACGCUCCAAAACGAUCUCGAGUCUCUGAUGACUCGACUUAACGAAAUCCCUGACCGAGUGCAGGAGUGGAAGAAGUCUUCUGCUCGGUGUGGCGCUGAUGUGGCUCUGUCCUUGGUUCGUGUCCACUGCAAGGAGGUGCGACAAGACAAGCUGGCAGCAAUCAAGGUCGCCAACACCCAGAAGCAUGACUUCCGAACCUUUAUGGAGACUUUCAUUGCCGCAGCCACUCGGAUAGCCGACGGCGUCGGCCUGGAUGAGUUCGUCGAGCCUGCCAGCCCUCCUCCCGCGGAGUGA
rnacentral:rRNA from 1 species